AUAGCAUGCUGAAUAUACCGGUUCUCGUUAGAUCACCGAAGUUAAGCAUCAUUGGGCGCGGUCAGUACUUGGGUGGGUGACCACCUGGGAACACUGCGUGCCGUU
rnacentral:rRNA from 1 species